AAUAUUAUACACGAACGCCGCCACCGCCGCCGCCGCUUUGUACAGUGUAUGCAGGGUAAUUUUUUUUUUUUUUUUAUCACGGUCCAGCGAGAUUUCGUCGUUUGAGGAUUCUAAACGAAUUCGAUUUUCGAUUUUUUUUUUCCCGCAAUCAUUAUUUUCACACCGUUUUCAAAACGACACCCACUAUUAUACACUGGUUUCACUAUUUCUCAAACGAGUAUUGCCGUUUGAUUUUAACCCUCCUUCGUACGCGUUUUUGAUUUUUUACAUCAAAUUCGAAAGGUCAGGUUUCUUUCUAAUCAUUUCAAUACGCACAACACCAUAAUUUAGACCGGAGUAACAUCAGUCGGGAAUCGUAUCGAUUUCUCACCACCGUCCUCGAUCGCGAUAAUUCAAACCGUGUUCUGUACGUAACGGUAAAUGUCGGUUUGAAAAGGCGACGGGUAGUAAAGUCGCUCACAAGUGUUUUAUGUUGACGUGAUUAUCGAGGGUUACGGAAUAAAACUGUAUAGAAAUUUCGAAAAUAUCGUCUAGACUGUCUAGACACGAUCGUUGUUGAACGGGGUUCGGUAUAAUUGCCGAAAUAUAUCCGAAAUCGAUUUUACCCAAAUAUCCGAACGCGGUAGGCGUACAUGCCCAAUCGCCGGACCGUGAUUAUAUUGUAUAGAAAUCGUCCUGUAUUUAUUAUAUUAUACGCGUAAUACACCGUGUACACAAUCUAUAAGUGGAUAAAAAAAUUAUGUAUAUAUAUUGAUAAAAAAAAAAAAACAAACGAACACAAUCGUUAUAUUGUCAUGAUAAUACGUAUAAUUAUAAUAACGCAAAACGACCGCCGGUAUCAUAAUAGAGGAGAUACCUGCCUAAUAUUAUAUACUGGCCGCGCAUUUGCAGUUGCGUCCGCGUGCGGAAUACGGUAGUAGAUUUUUUUUUUUUUGUAAUCUCGUUGUCGCCCGUUUUUUUUUCAAAUUGUAUUUUAUGGUUGAUAAUAAUAACGUACGCUAUACACUGUAAUAAUAAUAAUUGAUACGGUGUCGGUUCUUCGGUCGGUUUUCUUUUUUUUUAUUAUUAUUAUUUUUUUUUUUUUUA